rnacentral:rRNA from 1 species
AUUGAACGCUGGCGGCAGGCCUAACACAUGCAAGUCGAGCGGAGCGGCGGACGGGUGCGUAAUGCCUAGGAAUCUGCCUGGUAGUGGGGGAUAACGUCCGGAAACGGGCGCUAAUACCGCAUCCCUCUUGCUAUGCCUUGGUCGGAUUUGCUAGUUGGUGGGGUAAAGGCCUACCAAGGCGACGAUCCGUAACUGGUCUGAGAGGAUGAUCAGUCACUCUGGAACUGAGACACGGUCCAGACUCCUACGGGAGGCAGCAGUGGGGAAUAUUGGACAAUGGGCGAAAGCCUGAUGCAGCCAUGCCGCGUGUGUGAAGAAGGUCUUCGGAUUGUAAAGCACUUUAAGUUGGGAGGCGUUACCAACAGAAUAAGCACCGGCUAACUUCGUGCCAGCAGCCGCGGUAAUAC